CUCUUAUUCAUCUCUGCAUUCCCAUGGCUUCAUGCUACGUAUGACUGUAAACUCCUUCUGCGAAGAUUCCACUUUCUGAACGGUGCUGAGCCCAAUGCUGGGACUGCCUAUUGGCAGAUCCAAAUGGAGGCAUAACACAGGUUUUAGCCUCACAAAUCCGAAUAUGGGGAUCAAUCGGGAUUCAUGAUCCAAGUAAUGUUUUAGGUGUUGAGGUCCAAGACACCCAGGAGAGCAAGCAGCUUAAGGGAAGUCUAAAUGGCAGAGAGGAAGCUAACUCUUCACCACCUUGGCUUUCCCUGCUCAAGGGACUUUGGGGCAGUAACUGAGAAGCGCGAUGAAGAAUAAAUUUGGAAUUAUAGCCAGUUCCUUAACACUAUCUUGUUUGAUGGACUCUCUCCCCUUAACCGCUUUAUCAAAUGCUUCACCAAUGUUCUCAAAGGGCGCCAUGAUUUAUCACAGCUCAACCAACAUAUCCAAAUGGGAUGUUCCAGUGGUUGUAUAAAUUAAAGUUCCUUCGGAAUUCUAGAUCAACUGAAAUAGACUAAGAUUGCCUUUUCUAUAAGAUUGUGGCUCUACACAAUCGAAUCUCCACGAGCAACUUAU
rnacentral:lncRNA from 1 species